AUGCUUUGGAUCUUAAAUCCCCUCCAAAGGCCAUUGUUUGACCUCCAACCUGCAGUGCUACCUAAGGGCGCAGGGGCAGCAUCUCAGAGGUGAGACUUGAGAGGAAGGACAUUGAGUCACUGAGGACUGCUGCUUCCUAUUGAUAAAAGCCCAGGCCAGAUAAAUUGAACAAAGUUAAUGAAUAGAAAAUGCUCUUGCACUGGGCAACAUUCCAGACCAAAGACAAUCCAGAAGGCCCCUCCUCACUACAUGUCAAUUGAGCUCAGGCCCCUUGUGCUUGCUGACUAGAUGCUGUACUUCUGAGCUCAGAAACACCUUCCCUGGAAAACAACAGCAACCUUUAAUGCUUAGUUCUCUAGGAGCUAGAGAGAUGGAUCAGUGGUCAACAGCAUUGAGUGCUCUUCCAGAGGUCUAUGGUUGGAUUCCCAGCACCCACAUGGAAGCUCACAAGAUCUGACACCUGCACACAGACAGAACAAAAGAUAACAGGCAAAACACCAAGAUAAAGGAGCUGUGAAGCCAUCUGAGGGAGAGUUUCACUGGGAUCGGUAUCUGAGGGACAGAAGAUCCACUCCUGCAAUUGAAAGAAAGAUGAAAUUUUAAGACCUUAACCCAGAGCUGUUCCUGGUCUUCUCUCAAAGCCUCUGGUUCUGGGAAAGCCCUUGGUCUUGGGUAAAGAGACAAGAAAAGGGACUAACUAAGCUUAGUGAAGUAUAGACAUCUGGGAUGAGAUAGCAAAUCAAGUCUACCAGUGAGCCGAAACAGCCUCCGCAGAUGAGGGAAUGGGACGCUAACCUGGAGGAUUCCACAGGCUGCACUCAGAGGAAAAUGCAGAUACUAGAGCAGACGAUCACAUCGAGGUACCCGGUUAGGUCAAGAAGGAUGUGAGGCGAACCUUCAGAUGUGGCUGCAACCCAGCCACACCCAGCCUGGGUCUGCCCGGGCUCUGCUGUCCUUUCUGCAGGCAAUUUCAGUUCAGUGUUGCUUUACAGUAUUGAUUUGGGAUGGGCUAUUGGCCUUCACGAUUAUAGCUACAGAAAUGUAAUUUCUAGAUGAAACAUGGAAUAGAUCCAAGCAGAAAAUGUGAACACAAGAGUUUUCAGAGUAAAGUUAGGAAAGCAUUGUCACUAUCAAAGAGAAUGCUUUACUAAUCUCGAAUAGCAGAAUAUUCUGGCUUCAUAUGUCAUAUAUANUAUCUAUAUUUAUAUAUAGAUAUAUAAAUACAAUAUAUAUUGUUUUAAAACACAGAAAUAGUUGAGAAAUCACCCACCUAAUGUUGCAGUGCUCUUAUGUCUGCCUCCUAGGAUGAUAGAAAUGGGCCACAAUUCCUGGCUUCCAACUCAUUUUUAAAAAGAGUGAGUGCAUCAUUGGUAAAUGGCAAAACUGAAAUAUAAAAGGAAAAGAAACUUAUGAUUCAUAACUAAAUAGCGAAACCCGGAAGUAUCCAGUAGCAAAUGAGCUGAAUGUCAAGCAUGUGAAUAGUCAUGGGAAGCAAGGCGUAUUCCUCUGGGGAAAGACAUCAUCAAUGGUACUGAGAGAAAAAUGUGAAACUAUAACGCCUUUAAAAAACUUGGUGUAGCCUCAUUGCACGUGGUACUGGAUUUCACAAAGGCUCUUACACAUUCUCACACUUUCUCACGCAUUCUCCAUUCUCACACAUUCUCACGCAUUCUCACACAGGUAUAUGAUGAACUUUGGGUGUGUUCCUGUUUCAUGACUCCCCUUUCUGCUCUCCCUUCUCUUUAGUCCCUUUGAUUUCCUUACACAGUUUCAUUUCUACUUAAUGUCAUAUAUGCAUAGCUGAUUUUAUGAAUCUAUAAAAAUAUAGGAAGCACAAGUCAGAGAACUCAUGUAAUAUUUGUCUUUGAGUAGCUCAAUAUAAUAAUCUCCCAAUGUGUCUAUUUUCCUACAAAUGGCAUAACUAUAUUCUUUAUGGCUGAAUAAAAUUGUAUUGCGUAAGUAUAUCAUAUUUUCUUAGCCUGUUCUUCCGUUAGCGAAUACCUAAACUAGCUCCAUAGUGUCUGCCAUGAGUGCUGUAAUAAAUAUUGCUGUACAAG
ensembl:antisense Gm15731 predicted gene 15731